CGCUAGCGGCAGGCUUAACACAUGCAAGUAGAACGGUAACAGUCCUUCGGGAGCUGACGAGUUGCGAACGGGUGCGUAACGCGUAUGCAACCUACCCAUAACAGAGGGAUAGCCCAUAGAAAUGUGGAUUAAUACCUCAUAACAACUUAAGAUGGCAUCAUCUAAAGUUUAAAACUCCGGUGGUUAUGGAUGGGCAUGCGUGACAUUAGCUAGUUGGUGAGGUAACUGCUCACCAAGGCAACGAUGUCUAGGGGUUCUGAGAGGAUGAUCCCCCACACUGGUACUGAGACACGGACCAGACUCCUACGGGAGGCAGCAGUGAGGAAUAUUGCGCAAUGGAGGAAACUCUGACGCAGCCAUGCCGCGUGCAGGAAGACUGCCCUAUGGGUUGUAAACUGCUUUUAUAUAGGAAGAACUACAGAUACGUGUAUUUGUUUGACGGUACUAUACGAAUAAGGACCGGCUAACUCCGUGCCAGCAGCCGCGGUAAUACGGAGGGUCCAAGCGUUAUCCGGAUUUAUUGGGUUUAAAGGGUCCGUAGGCGGGUCAUUAAGUCAGUGGUGAAAUCCUACAGCUCAACUGUAGAACUGCCAUUGAAACUGGUGACCUUGAAUAUAAUUGAAGUGGGCGGAAUGUGUCAUGUAGCGGUGAAAUGCUUAGAUAUGACACAGAACACCGAUUGCGAAGGCAGCUCACUAAGUUAUCAUUGACGCUGAGGGACGAAAGCGUGGGUAGCGAACAGGAUUAGAUACCCUGGUAGUCCACGCCGUAAACGAUGUAUACUCGUUGCUAGCGAUACACAGUUAGUGACCAAGCGAAAGUAUUAAGUAUACCACCUGGGGAGUACGAU
rnacentral:rRNA from 1 species